rnacentral:rRNA from 1 species
UACCAGCACCCCGAGUGGUCGGGACGAUUAUUGGGCCUAAAGCAUCCGUAGCCGGUUCUACAAGUCUUCCGUUAAAUCCACCUGCUUAACAGAUGGGCUGCGGAGGAUACUAUAGAGCUAGGAGGCGGGAGAGGCAAGCGGUACUUAGUGGGUAGGGGUAAAAUCCGUUGAUCCAUUGAAGACCACCAGUGGCGAAGGCGGCUUGCCAGAACGCACUCGACGGUGAGGGAUGAAAGCUGGGGGAGCAACCGGAUAG